UUAAGCGACUAAGCGUACACGGUGGAUGCCUAGGCAGUCAGAGGCGAUGAAGGGCGUGCUAAUCUGCGAAAGCGUCGGUAAGGUGAUAUGAACCGUUAUAACCGGCGAUACCGAAUGGGGAAACCCAGUGUGUUUGCACACUAUCGUUAAUGAAUCAUAGGUUAAUGAGGCGAACCGGGGGAACUGAAACAUCUAAGUACCCCGAGGAAAAGAAAUCAACCGAGAUUCCCCAGUAGCGGCGAGCGAACGGGGAGGAGCCCAGAGUCUGAAUCAGUUGUGUGUUAGUGGAAGCGUCUGGAAAGGCGCACGGUACAGGGUGAUAGCCCGUACACAAAAAUGCACAUAUUGUGAACUCGAUGAGUAGGGCGGGACACGUGAUCCUGUCUGAAUAUGGGGGGACCAUCCUCCAAGGCUAAAUACUCCUGACUGACCGAUAGUGAACCAGUACCGUGAGGGAAAGGCGAAAAGAACCCCGGCGAGGGGAGUGAAAAAGAACCUGAAACCGUGUACGUACAAGCAGUGGGAGCACCUUAGGGUGUGACUGCGUACCUUUUGUAUAAUGGGUCAGCGACUUAUAUUUGUAGCAAGGUUAACCGAAUAGGGGAGCCGUAGGGAAACCGAGUCUUAACUGGGCGUUAGUUGCAGGGUAUAGACCCGAAACCCGGUGAUCUAGCCAUGGGCAGGUUGAAGGUUGGGUAACACUAACUGGAGGACCGAACCGACUAAUGUUGAAAAAUUAGCGGAUGACUUGUGGCUGGGGGUGAAAGGCCAAUCAAACCGGGAGAUAGCUGGUUCUCCCCGAAAGCUAUUUAGGUAGCGCCUCGUGAAUUCAUCUCCGGGGGUAGAGCACUGUUUCGGCAAGGGGGUCAUCCCGACUUACCAACCCGAUGCAAACUCGAAUACCGAAGAAUGUUAUCACGGGAGACACACGGCGGGUGCUAACGUCCGUCGUGAAGAGGGAAACAACCCAGACCGCCAGCUAAGGUCCCAAAGUCAUGGUUAAGUGGGAAACGAUGUGGGAAGGCCCAGACAGCCAGGAUGUUGGCUUAGAAGCAGCCAUCAUUUAAAGAAAGCGUAAUAGCUCACUGGUCGAGUCGGCCUGCGCGGAAGAUGUAACGGGGCUAAACCAUGCACCGAAGCUGCGGCAGCGACGCUUAUGGUUUGUUGGGUAGGGGAGCGUUCUGUAAGCCUGCGAAGGUGCUGUGAGGCAUGCUGGAGGUAUCAGAAGUGCGAAUGCUGACAUAAGUAACGAUAAAGCGGGUGAAAAACCCGCUCGCCGGAAGACCAAGGGUUCCUGUCCAACGUUAAUCGGGGCAGGGUGAGUCGACCCUAAGGCGAGGCCGAAAGGCGUAGUCGAUGGGAAACAGGUUAUAUUCCUGUACUUGGUGUUACUGCGAAGGGGGACGGAGAAGGCUAUGUUGGCCGGGCGACGGUUGUCCCGGUUUAAGCGUGUAGGCUGGUUUUCCAGGCAAAUCCGGAAAAUCAAGCUGAGGCGUGAUGACGAGGCACUACGGUGCUGAAGCAACAAAUGCCCUGCUUCCAGGAAAAGCCUCUAAGCAUCAGGUAACAUCAAAUCGUACCCCAAACCGACACAGGUGGUCAGGUAGAGAAUACCAAGGCGCUUGAGAGAACUCGGGUGAAGGAACUAGGCAAAAUGGUGCCGUAACUUCGGGAGAAGGCACGCUGAUAUGUAGGUGAGUCCUCGCGGAUGGAGCUGAAAUCAGUCGAAGAUACCAGCUGGCUGCAACUGUUUAUUAAAAACACAGCACUGUGCAAACACGAAAGUGGACGUAUACGGUGUGACGCCUGCCCGGUGCCGGAAGGUUAAUUGAUGGGUUAGCGCAAGCGAAGCUCUUGAUCGAAGCCCCGGUAAACGGCGGCCGUAACUAUAACGGUCCUAAGGUAGCGAAAUUCCUUGUCGGGUAAGUUCCGACCUGCACGAAUGGCGUAAUGAUGGCCAGGCUGUCUCCACCCGAGACUCAGUGAAAUUGAACUCGCUGUGAAGAUGCAGUGUACCCGCGGCAAGACGGAAAGACCCCGUGAACCUUUACUAUAGCUUGACACUGAACAUUGAGCCUUGAUGUGUAGGAUAGGUGGGAGGCUUUGAAGUGUGGACGCCAGUCUGCAUGGAGCCGACCUUGAAAUACCACCUUUAAUGUUUGAUGUUCUAACGUGGACCCGUGAUCCGGGUUGCGGACAGUGUCUGGUGGGUAGUUUGACUGGGGCGGUCUCCUCCUAAAGAGUAACGGAGGAGCACGAAGGUUGGCUAAUCCUGGUCGGACAUCAGGAGGUUAGUGCAAUGGCAUAAGCCAGCUUGACUGCGAGCGUGACGGCGCGAGCAGGUGCGAAAGCAGGUCAUAGUGAUCCGGUGGUUCUGAAUGGAAGGGCCAUCGCUCAACGGAUAAAAGGUACUCCGGGGAUAACAGGCUGAUACCGCCCAAGAGUUCAUAUCGACGGCGGUGUUUGGCACCUCGAUGUCGGCUCAUCACAUCCUGGGGCUGAAGUAGGUCCCAAGGGUAUGGCUGUUCGCCAUUUAAAGUGGUACGCGAGCUGGGUUUAGAACGUCGUGAGACAGUUCGGUCCCUAUCUGCCGUGGGCGCUGGAGAACUGAGGGGGCUGCUCCUAGUACGAGAGGACCGGAGUGGACGCAUCACUGGUGUUCGGGUUGUCAUGCCAAUGGCACUGCCCGGUAGCUAAAUGCGGAAGAGAUAAGUGCUGAAAGCAUCUAAGCACGAAACUUGCCCCGAGAUGAGUUCUCCCUGACCCUUUAAGGGUCCUGAAGGAACGUUGAAGACGACGACGUUGAUAGGCCGGGUGUGUAAGCGCAGCGAUGCGUUGAGCUAACCGGUACUAAUGAACCGUGAGGCUUAACCUU
rnacentral:rRNA from 2 species